UAUCGCUCUAUACAAAUUAAAAUCAUUCUCCUCUCUCUCUCUCUCUCUCUCUCUCUCUCUCUCUCUCUCUCCAUUUGAGUUGAAGAAUCGAAGCCAAUUCUUCUUCUACAAUGCAGACGAGAACUGUUCAAGUAAAGAGCGUUUCAGAUCUAGCAACCGAGAGAGAGAUUCACGAGUUUUUCUCCUUUUCAGGCGACAUCGAACACAUUGAGAUCCAAGGAGAAGCUGGGAGGUCCAGAAUCGCAUAUGUUACGUUUAAAGACCCUAAAGCUCUUGAAAUCGCGUUAUUGUUAUCGGGUUCUUGGAAGCAUUUCUGUUCGUGGAAUUGAUUGUGUUAGAACUGAAGGUGGACAUUGAAAUUGGGUGAUUAUUUGUUAGCUUUUGUUUAAUUAUAUUGGGACAUGGGAGAACAAGAAGAUUCUAUCUGAUUUUUUUUUUUGUAAAUGGGAUGAAGCUAUCUGUGUUUAGUUAAAUUUGGGUGACUUGUUUAGUGAUCGUUGUCCAGUUCGAUAUGUUUUACUCAAAUCGGGUGAAUUCUGAAACACAUAAUGACCGAAAUGUUCUCUUCCAAAACGUUUGGGGAGCGAGGGAAUUCUAGUUGAUGGAUAGUUGCUGGAGAUAUUGAUAAAUGAUCUGUUCGGGUACAGUGAAUGCGAUGCAUAUAGGUGAUUAUGGUUGGCAUAUCUGCCUGUCCUUUUAUUUGUUUCGAGU